rnacentral:rRNA from 1 species
GGUCAGGAUGAACGCUAGCGGCAGGCUUAACACAUGCAAGUCGAGGGGCAUCGGGAGUAGCAAUACUGCCGGCGACCGGCGCAAGGGUGCGUAACGCGUGAGCAACAUGCCCGUAUCAGGGGGAUAAUCCAUGGAAACGUGGUCUAAUACCCCAUAGUAAUUAUGUAAGGCAUCUUAUAUAAUUUAAAGCUUUGGUGGAUACGGAUUGGCUCGCGUGACAUUAGCUAGAUGGUAAGGUAACGGCUUACCAUGGCUACGAUGUCUAGGGGUUCUGAGAGGAAGGUCCCCCCACACUGGAACUGAGACACGGUCCAGACUCCUACGGGAGGCAGCAGUGAGGAAUAUUGGACAAUGGAUGGAAAUCUGAUCCAGCCAUGCCGCGUGCAAGGAAGACGGCCCUAUGGGUUGUAAACUGCUUUUGUAUGGGAGCAAUAAGGGCUACGUGUAGUCCGAUGAGAGUACCAUACGAAUAAGCACCGGCUAACUCCGUGCCAGCCGCGGC